rnacentral:lncRNA from 1 species
AAGGGUGUUGAGGACACAGUGAAAAUAAAUAAGUUCUAUUUUAUUCUCAAGUUAACAUCUUUAUCUUUUCUUUGUCAUACCUCUUCCCUAUUUCUUUCUUUUUUUUUCUUGUCUAAUAUUUUUUUCUACUGUAAGUUGCUGCAAAUUCUUAAGUAAAAUUCAACCCAGUUCUAACAAUUAACAUAUCUACAAAGUGAUGGUUGUAACAGAAGAUGAAUCGGUCAGUGUUGCGUUGAUAGAAGAAAGUAAAGAAAGGAUUAAGAAAUUUGAAUAUGUAAGAUUUAGAUUCGUACCUCGAACAAAAAAUCAAGCAGCACACAAAAUGGCUGAAGCAAGAAAACAUUUCGACUCCCCAAUGUUUUGGAUUGAAGAAGCACCAGAAAAAGUAACAAGAAUAGUAGAUUUGGAUAGAGGGAGUAUGGGUAGAGAAGAAGUGUUAAAAUUUUCUGAGUAAAAUGAUGAGGAUAUAAUAACGAAGUGCGAUUAAAACUCAGAGUUGCAGAAGGGAAGAAUCAGAGCCAGAAUUCAAGAAAUAACUUCACCAGAAAUGAGGUAGAUCCACUCCUUUUUCAAAUGUUGAUGAAGAGACGAAAGGAGGAAAGAAUGAGGCUAAUGGCUUCUUUACUAACCGAUUUUUUUGUUUGGUUGUUAUGUUCCGCUUUUUAGGAUUUCUAGGGUUUUUCAUUUGUGUUUUUAGGAGUUGUUCUUGUAAAGAGUUUUUUAUUAAGAUUAGAGGACAAGGGCCUUAAAUGGCUUUUAUUUUAACAGACUGUAGUAGGUGGUUUAAUGAGUUUUUUCUUCUUCUAAUUAAUGUAUCAGUAGAGAUUAAGUUAAAAAAAAUUUUAAAACUCAAUUUUACUAAGUAGACUUGAAAACCCCAAUCCAGAUUUCUGUUAAACUAAAACUAAUGACACGCAAACACAUGUUAAAAAAUUUUCAAUUUCACUUAAAAAUUAUAAAAACUAAAAGAAUCAUUAAAAUCCCCAAAAAUCAUUUAAAAAUUAAAAUCCCCAAAAAAUUAAAGCUAAAAAUAUCUUAAUCUAAUUUUGAAAAUUAUAAAAAAAAUAAAUUAUAUGUAUGCAAAACUUAAAUUUUUUUUAAAAAAAAUCAUAAAAUUAAAAAAAAAAUGGUUUGCUUGGACUUUUAGGACCAUUUUACCAAUAAAGGCCUAUUUCCAAUUUUAUUUACGGAAAUGGGCCACUUUUUUCAUUAUUUACCGGAGUGGGCUGAAAACACCAAAACGCGUCCACAUAGGAGCAUUAUAUGGGGAAAUCGCUCCCUCAGGGAUGUGGGCUAUUUGCAUGUUUAGUUCCCAAGUUUUGUGGGUUUAAGGUUUUAGGGUUUUAGGGUUGUAGUGUUAGUAUUUUGUUAAAAUAAUUUAGGGUUUUAUUUAAUUAGGGUUUAAAAAUUUUAAAAAAUAAAUUAAAUUAGGUUUUAGGGGUUUUAAAUAAAUAAACUAAAUUAGGAUUUAGAGUUUUUAAUAAAAUUUAUUAAAUUAGGGUUUAUUUUUUAAAAAUAUUUUUUGUGUUUAGCUUUUAGGGUUUUUGUAAAAGGGUUUAGGUUAAGGGUUUAGUGGGGUUUAUAUUGAGACGAAGGAUUUUUUUUGUAACAGCCCGAUUUUGGGUCUAGUCAGAACAGUGGUUUUGGGACCACAAAUCCGACGAGGAAAAAUGUAAUGACCUGAAUUUUUAGAGGUGUCGGAACGGUGAUUCGAGAUCACUAAAUUCGACAAAUGGGUAGAAAAUAUUAUUAAUUUAGUGAGUAUAAGUUAAAUGUGAAGUUAGGAAAAUUUUUGAAAUAGUGAAUAGUACACUAGAAAUAAAUAUUAGAAUCGAAAAUGAGGUAUCGAGACCUCGGGGAUUUUAAACCAAGCCAUAAAUAUUUUUAUAAAUAUUUAUGUAGUGAUAAAAAGUUAGUAUUAAAGUUUCGUUAAGAAAUUUUAAAGUUCCGAUAAUUAAUUGAACAAAAAGGACUAAAUUGUAACAAAUGAAAAAUUAUGGGAAAUGAUUAAAUAGCUUAAAUGAUAAAAGGAAGAGGGCUUAAAAGGUAAAUAGACCCAAGUUCUAUUUGGACUGGACGGCAAAGGCAUGAAAUCAGCAACAAAGUAAGGAGAAUUAAGGGCAAAAUUGAAAUAUUGCAAAAUUUACUUAAUAAAGUUAGGACCAAAGUGGAAUUAUCUAGAUUUCUCUUUAUUUUUCUGCAUUCUCAUCAGAAAAAACACCAUAGAAGGGUUUCCUUAAGCUGGUUCUUCCUAUUUUUACUGCAGGUAAGUUCAAUUCUUGAUUAUUUCUUGAAAAUUUUAUGUUUUUGUGACUUUUACAACUAGGCCCACUUGUUGAAUUCAUUAGUUUUUGAUUCUAUGAAAGAAUUUGAAAGUUUCUAUGAAUAUGUGCUGGAAUUAUAUGAUGAUUUAGCAUGGAAUUAGAGCUUUGAAUUGUUCAUAUGCUGAUUUUAUUGAAAGAAUUGAAUAGAAAGUGAAUGUUUGGAACCUAAUAGUAAAAGAGUUUGAAGAUAGAGUUAUAUGUGGAAAUUCUGAAUUUCAAUAGUUGUGUAACAACUUAUAAUGUAUAGGAAAAUUAUUAAUUGAGAAAAUUAGAUUAAUUGAGGGGUUAAUUGAGAAAGGACCGAAUUGUAUAAACUGUGAAAUUUGGGGCAAAAUGGAAAUCAACAUUUUGCACUAAAGCAGUUUUGGACAGCAGCAGUAGUCUAACUUUGAAAAAUCACCAAAAAUUGUGAGAAUUGAAUUAAAGGAUGAAUAAAAUAUGAAAUUAAAUCUUGUUGAGUCUAGUUUCUCAUAGAAGAAGCGGUGUAAGUAAUGGAAUUGUAAAUUUUGAGAUAUUUGAAGUUUAGUUAGACCAAGUUAGAAUGAGUUCGGAAUCCCCUGUUCUGAAUUUGGAAAAUUGUUAAAAAUUGUACAAAAAUAAUUAUGAGUUAUAGUUUAUAUUAUUAGAAUCCUUAAUAAGUCUAUUUUCAAAAUAAAUAAACGGAAACAUCAUCCAAAUUCUUUACAAUGAGAUAAUUAAUUUUUAGUGAAGAGAGGUCAGAACUGUCAGACAGCGAAACAGGGGAAACUUUAAAGAAUAAAAUGUACUAUUUGGCUAAACCAAAAAUUCUGAAAUUUUUAUGGUAAGAAUAUAUGUGAAUCUAGUUUGGGGGAAAUUUUAUGGAUCUUAAUUUGAAGUUCUGUAGCUCCAGGGAAAAAUAAUUUAGUGACUCUAACUCAGACGGACAGCUUGAAUUUUACAUACAAGAAAAUAGUGAAAGUACGAAUAAUGUUGUUUAAAUGUGUUAUACAGAUUAAGGAUGAGGAAUGGAGAGGAGGUGGAGGAAAAUUGAGAAAUAUAUGAAUGAUUUGUGUAUAAUUGGUCAUAUGUUUGAUUAUAACUGAUAAAUGAUGAAAUAUGAAUGAUGCUUAUAUUUGUGUAUUAUUAGUUAUGGUUUAAGCUCAUGUGUGAAAAUAAAAUUUCAUAGUAUGUGUGUAUGGUAUAUUCAGUAUAUGAUUUGGCAUGAAAAAAUGUCAUGAAUGGUUUAUCAUGUGGUUAGUUCCAAAAAGAGUUAUGUUUAAAUACACUAGCUUGCAACUAUGGUUGAAUGAUAUGUUUAUAUCUUGUGUGAUGUGCAUAGGAACAAGUGUGGAAAGAUAAUGAAAUAGUAAGUUCAUAUGGCUGAAAUUUAAUGAUUAAAUGUUAAUUUCAUGAAUUAUAUAAUGUAUGAUGAAAUAUAUAUUUAUUGUUGAAAUGAGAAUAGAAUAAAAAUGCGAAAACUGAAUAAAUGAUCAAAUUGAGCGGAACGCCUGAUUUGAGUACUUCUGAUCAAGUGACAAAGUGAUAAGUGGUAACUUUAGCUACACUUAUCUGAUCAAGUGACAAAGUGAUAAGUGGUAGCCUAGCUACACUUAUCUGAUCAAGUGACAAAGUGAUAAGUGGUAGCUUUAGCUACACUUAUCUGAUCAAGUGACAAAGUGAUAAGUGGUAGCCUAGCUACACUUAUCUGAUCAAGUGACAAAGUGAUAAGUGGUAGCCUAGCUACACUUAUCUGAUCAAGUGACAAAGUGAUAAGUGGUAGCUUUAGCUACACUUAUCUGAUCAAGUGACAAAGUGAUAAGUGGUAGCCUAGCUACACUUAUCUGAUCAGGGACAAGUGAUAAGUGAUCAUACGUAAGACCAUAGUUAUACUAUGGCCAAGAGGAAGUGAAGUACUCAAUUUUCCGUAACCGUUCCCUAAUUUGAUUAAGGAUGGUAAGUGACAAAUGGACCCAAAAGAAUUAAAGCAAAUGGAUAAGUGGUUGUGUAUUUAUAACAGGAUGAUGUUGUUAUUUAAGCUAAAGUGAUAUUUUUAUUGCAAAAUUGAGAAUUUCAUAAAUGUGUUAUUGAAUGGUAUAAUCGAUAAACAUUGAGAUAAAUGGUAAAUAUGUAUUAGUUUUGAACUUAAUGUCAUUGAAUUGUACGUGAAUUAAAUGGAAAUUGCUAGUGAUAUGAUUUAAAUUGUGAGCAUGAGAAAUUGCGAAUUGAAUGAAAUGGAAAUGAAACAUUGAAUUGCAUGAGUAUGUAUCGGGUCUCGUAGGCCCUAAUUAUUAUGAUUAUAAUAUUUUGAGGAUAUAUUGUGAAAAGUUAUAGAAGCAUGUUAAUUAUUUUGAAAGUUUUAAUUUAGAUAAAUUUUUAUAACUCAGUUUAAUACGUUUACAAGUGUAUGUGUUUUGGUAAUGCUUCGUACCUUAUUCCGGUGUUGGAUACGGGUAAUGGGUGUUGCAUUUUUGUUUUACAGUAAUUUUAGAAAAAUUAAUUUUGAGAAGACGUUUUUGAAAAGAUAAUGUCAAAAAUGCUUCAAGUAGGAUGCAUAGUCAGCAAAAUUACUGAAAAAAGCUUCCACCUGGACGCUCUUUGUCUACAGUAGUUCUUGAAAAAAUAAUUUUGACAAAAUGAUUUUGAAAAAAUAGUGUCAAAAACGCUUCAAACAGGAUGCACUGUCAGCAAAAUUACUGAAAAAGGAUUUCAUGUGGACGCUCUUUUUCUACAAUAGUUCCUAAAAAUAAAUUUGAGAAGAUAGUUCUGAAAAAAUAGUGUCAAAAACACUUCAAGUAGGAUGCACUGUCAGCAAAAUUACUGAAAAAAACUCCCACGUGGACGCUUUUUUUCUAUAGUAGUUUAUGAAAAAAUAAUUUUGAGAAGACGGUUCUGAAAAGAUAGUGUCUAAAACAUUUCAAGCAGGAUGCGUUGUCAGCAAAAUUACAGAAAAAAGCUCUCACGUGGACGCUCUUUUUGUACAGCAAUUCCUACUUGGCCUUAGGCUAUAAAUGAGCCAAAUUUCAUUAUCAUGUUGCAUAAGUUACAGCAAGAAAAAUUAGAGAGGUUAACCAGAACAAAAAUUGAAGAUUAAUGAACAUAUUAAUGCUAUUAUUUACUAUGAUGGUGAGGUCCGUGACUCAAAGAAUAGUAUUGUUUUUUAUCGGAGAACACAACACAACUGAUUUUUAACUAGACAUAGAUUUGACAGAACUUCGUAAAAGACUUAGGAGUAAAAUCUUCAGAACAACACCAAUGAGAGUUUCGUUUAUUAAGUAUCGAUUUUGUGCUUCGGUUGAUCCUGUGACAUAUGACUCAUUUGAUAUCAAAAGUGGUCGUAACUUGGAGGCAAUGAUGCAAACUCAUCUCGCUAGUAGAUCACCCUAUCUUGAGUUAGAUAUACAAUUUCCAUUACCAAAUGAAGCAUUUGGUACUUCAACAUCUACUGCUAUUCGAGAGGAAUACACGACCCCUACAUGACAUUCUGUUAAUAGGAGGUAGAACAUGGAAGAGCUCGGAUUUGAUGGCAGUAUGAAAUACACAACUCCUGCAUGACACUCGGUUAGUAGAUGGGACAUGCACCUCGGUGGGUCGAUGUUCGAUACUGGAAAUACAUACUAGAAAAUGACAUCAACUUCUAGUGGUUGGCAAUCCACAUCUGAUUGGGGACAUUACAAAAUGUCUACAAGAAGGGAUGAUGUACUCCCUAUGACGUCUACCAGUGAGGGGACCUUAUACAUUGCAGAUGAUGGUGGGCUGGAUGAUGAGUCUGAUGUGGAUCCACCUCGAGAGCGCAGCCUUAAUAGUGUAGAAGUUGUAUUAUUUUCUGAACCAGAGCCUGUUCGAAUCGAACUUGAAAAUGGUGAAGGGGGUUCAGAUGAAGAAGAAGAAAAUCUGCGAUUCAGGGCGUACUCGUCUCCAACCUACUUGCAUAAUAUCGAUCUAUCGGCAGAUGAUGCUUUAGAGUUUUCAGAUCUACCACACAGAAGGCGUGACUGUAUAAGUUCGUUACUGAAUUAGGGUGAACUGGAAGUGGGUAAAGAGUUUUCUAGUAAGGAUAGUUUUCUUGGUACAUUGAAACAACAUAGCAUCAUCAACGGGGUUAACUACCACGUGGUUAAAUCUAAAUCCGAGAAGUUCGAGGCCAAGUGUGCAGUGCAAGACAGUACACGUUCAUGGAAAAUCAUGGCUUCGAUUAGGAAAAAGACAGGCUUGUGGGAGAUAAAAAAGUACAAAGGUCCACAUGCCUGUGUUACCGGUACAAUAUCACUAGGUGUUUAAGGUUUUUGAAUAAUACUGUGAUUACUUAAUGUUGCAUUAUUUAACAUACUUCAUUGACAGGUGUUUCACAAGAUCACCCCAAUAUGGAUUUAGAUAUGACAGCUAGCUUAAUUCUACCGAUGGUUAAGGCAGAUCCCAGGACUUCUGUGUUGAUCUUAAUUGCCAAUAUUCGUAGCUAAUUGAGGUACAUGCCCUCUUAUCGCAAAGCUUGGAUAGCUAAGUAGAAGACGUUGGAAAAGAUGCAUAGUGGGUGGGAUACUUUGUAACAGCCCAAUUUUCAGUAGUAUCAGAACAGUGAUUUGAGAUCACUAAAUUCGAUGAAGAAGUUAGAAAUAUUUUUGAAUUAGUGAAUUUUGUGAUUUAAAAGAAAUUAUUAGGUAAAUUGGGUCAAAAACGAGGUAUCGAUACCUCGAUAUCAUAAACUGAGUCGUAAAUAUUUUUAUAAAUAUUUACAGAGUGUCAAUAGGAUAAUAUUAAAGUUUCGUUUCAGUAGUGUCAGAACAGUGAUUUGAGAUCACUAAAUUCGAUGAAGAAGUUAGAAAUAUUUUUGAAUUAGUGAAUUUUGUGGUUUAAAAGAAAUUAUUAGGUAAAUUGGGUCAAAAACGAGGUAUCGAGACCUCGAUAUCAUAAACUGAGCCGUAAAUAUUUUUAUAAAUAUUUACAGAGUGUCAAUAGGAUAAUAUUAAAGUUUCGUUAAGAAAUUUUAACGUUUCGAUAGUUAAUUAUGAAAAAGGAUUAAAUUGCAAUAGGGAUAAAAGUUUAAUUAUAGAUUAAAGAAAAGUUAAAAGGACCAAAUAGGCAAUUAUGCCUUUUUCCAAAGUUGAGGCGGCAUAAGUAUAAAAAUCUGAGAUUUUUAUGUGUUAAAAAAAUAUUAUAUUAUAGUAAUGAUUAUGUUUUUAUAUUAUAUUAUUAUUAAUAUAUUAUAUUAUAUUAUAUAUAUACAUAAAACAAAAGAAAGAAUAGAAAAAAAAGAAAGAAAAGAAACAGAAUAGAAGAGACGAAACAGAGAAAGAAACAGAGAGCAAAACGGGCAGAGAAGGAAGGAAAGAAAGAAAGAAAGAAAGAAAAAGAAAAAGGGAAAUUUAAGGUUUUAAGGUUCCAAGCUCAAUUGGUAAGUCAAAUUAAGUCUUUUUCUUAUAAUUUUUGAGUUUUUGGAAUCCUAGAGAUAAUACUACUUGAUUUAUGUUGAUAUUUUGAAAGUUAGUAGAUUGUUAGACAUGAGUUAUGUUGAAUUAAUUGAUGAACUAGAGGUUAAAAUGAUUGAAUUUUAAGUUAGAAGCUAGUAAAAGAUUGAUUUGUAAAAUAAAAUAUAAGUUUUGAAUUGAUAGGGCUUAAAUUGGAAAAAAAUACCAAUAUUCAUAAGAAUAUGUUAGAGUGUGAUUUUGAUAUUGCCAUAGAAGGGAAAAAUGAUCAGCAUGUCAUAAAACAUAAGAAAAUAGGAUGAAGUUUAAUUUACGAGCCUUGAGGCAAAAGUGCAAAUAUGUGAAAGUUUAGGGGUAAAAAUAUAAUUUUACAAAAGUUUGGGUCAAGGACUGUUUUAAUAAAUUUGAAUAUUAAAUAAGUUAAAUUUACUAUUUUAGAUCAAGAAGUACGAAACUCGAGGUUAGACAAAGGGAAGAAUAAAGUUGAAGACUAAGUUGGUAAAUUUGGCUAUAAUUGGUACCGAGGUAAGUUUACAGUAAAUAAAUGCAAUAUUCUUUUAUUUUACAUUAUUAUUGUCAAUUUCCAGCAUUUAUAUAUUUAUGUUAUGAAAAUAUUUAAAGUCGAAUUUAAGGUGAAGUGACAGAGGAAAAGUGUUAGAAAGCCCCGGUUGAACCCUAGGAAUGUUAGGAUAUUAGGGUUGACAGGACAGAACAGAAAUGAGCCAUGUAAGUCCAUAUUAGAAAUAUGGCUUUGGAGACAGGAUUGAGCCAUGUAAGUCCAUAUUAUAUAUGGCAUUGGAGACAGGAAUAAUUCAUGUAAGUCCAUGUCAAAGACAUGGCAUUGGCAGGGUAUUGAUAGACAAGAAUGACCCUAGUAUCCUUAGUAUUCCGAGUGGUUCAACGGGUCAGAAUACGAGUUAAAUUACAGUGAAUUAACAGCAAAGGAAAAGUAGAUUAUAUUUAUGAAAACGGAAAGGUCAGGUAAGAAAGAAGGUAAGGGAAUAAAGAAGAAGAUAGAAAUUGAGAAGUAAAGAAAUUUAUGAUGUUAGAUGAUAUUAUGCAUAAUUAUCCAUUAUGUUGAAUGUUGUGAUUUAUUUGCUUGUAAGCUUACUAAGCCUAGUGCUUAAUCUCUUUAUUUUCUUCUUCUUAUAGUACUUAUCUAGCCACUCGGGGAUCGAAGGAAACGUCGGAGGCCGAUCACACUAUCAAAGAAAUAACUCGGUAUAAUUAGACGUUUUGUUUUGUGUAUGGCAUGUAUAGGGAUUUAGUUAUUUUGUAUGUUUGUAGUGAUGAUUUUGCUAAUGAGUGAUGUGUAAGUAGUUGAUGAUGUAUGGUUAUUAAAAUGAUUAAGGAUGAAGGUGUUUGUUGUUAUGAAAGAUUAGGUGAUAAAUUAUGCAUGGAAAUCAUGAAAGGAUAAAAUUUUGCAAAGAAACAGAAUUCAGGCAGCACAGUGACGUGAAUUUGAAAAAUCACCCAAGAUAGUAUAAAAUGAAUUAGAGGGUGAAUGAUAUAUGGAAUUAAAGCUUGUUGAGUCUAUUUUCAUGGAAAAAUAACGGUGUAGAAAAAAAAGAAAUUUAUAUUUUAAUAUAUGUGAAUUUUAGUAAGAUAGGGUCAGAACUGUUUUUGGAGUCCCCUGUUCUGAGUUUAGAAAAUAAUUACAAAUUGUACAAAAAUGGUUAUGAGUUGAAAUUUACAUUCUUAGAUUCCUUAAUGAGUCUAUUUUCUAUAGAAACAAGUAAGAACUUCAUAUGAAAAUCCUAUAGUGAGAAAACUUAUUUUUAGUGACUAGAGGUCAGGGCAGUCUGGUGGUGACACAGGGGAGACUUUAACUAAUAAACUGUACUAAUUUGCUGAACCAAAAAUUCUAAAAAUUUUAUGGUGAGUAGAUAUAUGAGUCUAGUUUUAGGGAAAAUUUACGGGAUUAAAUUUCGAGUUCUGUAGCUCAAGUUAUAAUUAAUUUAGUAACUGCUGCGCGAUUAGACAGAUUUGCUGCGAAUAAUAAAAUAAAUUUUCAAACCUAGUUUUUAUGCUCCGAACUGGUAAGAUAAGCUAAGUAAUGCCUCGUGCUCAACUCCGGAAACGGUCUCGGGUAAGGGGUGUUACAUUUAUUGGUAUCAGAGCAGGUUUAGUCGGUUCUCGGAAUAGUUAGUGUGAGAAAAGUCUAGCUAUACAUGCCAUACUUUAUUUUGAUAGUGUGACGACUCCUGACGAUUUUAAAAUGUUUUCUUUUAUAGUUAUGGAUCCUGAACGAGCUAGUACAGAUGAAGUAGAGAGUAAUGCACCUAUUCCCGCAGAAGGGACGGUGCCAUCAGAUGUUAUAUCAGUCAUAUAUUUCCUAAGUGUUCUGUUUCGUCUACUGGGCCUCUGCUAAAAAAAAUGUUACAAGAUAAAAGAUUGUCUUUGAUUCAAUGAUGAAUGAUUAUAAAGGAAAAAUAAGUUACAAAGCUGUGAAUAAAGAAGUAUGUAUUUGUAAUAAAAUAAUUUAAAGUUGUGAAUAAGUAAAUGUUAUUUAGUUCUGUAUGGAGAUUUAAAAUAGUAAUCCUUAUAGAUAAGGAUGAAAAUAUACAUUUAUACACUUAAAAGAGUAACCUUGAUAAAUGAGAAAUGUUUUACUAAUAGACAAAAAUGUCUCCAAUUGAUCUAGUUCCGACAGUGAUGAAAGUGAUAUUUGAGUAUUUGAUAGAGAAAGG